CUUUCUCUAUCUCAAUCAUUUCUUUCUCUCUCUCACAUGGACAUACUUGUUGAAGUUGAGCUACUGGCCUGCAAUAGCUGACCAGAUGACCCCAAAAUCACUCGCGGAGAAUCUCCAGGCUCUUCAGGCUCUUGCUAUCUUAUAUUUGCUGCUGCCCUGAUUUAUAAUGCCACCGCCCUUUAUCUUUCUUUGCUUAAAACCACUUGUGGUUCACUGUGUCCAAUAUUCUUCAUCGUAAUAAUCAUCAAAUUUGGAUAUUAGUAUCAUCUCAUUUUUUUAAAAAAAUGAGAUGAUACUAAUAUCCAAAUUUGAUGAUUAUUACGAUGAAGAAUAUUGGACACAGUGAACCACAAGUGGUUUUAAGCAAAGAAAGAUAAAGGGCGGUGGCAUUAUAAAUCAGGGCAGCAGCAAAUAUAAGAUAGCAAGAGCCUGAAGAGCCUGGAGAUUCUCCGCGAG
rnacentral:misc_RNA from 1 species